GCGGUUGUAGCUCAACGGUAGAGCGCAGCUAUGUCAUAGCUGAUAUACAGGUUCGAAUCCUGCUCUCUCCA
rnacentral:tRNA from 1 species